GACGGUUGAUAUAUGUGAACUCGGCGUGGUACGCAUAUGUCGUGUGUUUAGGUCCACCUUACAAGGUUAAGAAAUCCGAUUCGAAUAGUCUACUUCUCACAGUUUGAGACGGCUUGACCUCUUUUCCUGCAUUGAGUAAGAAGAUGAACAAGGAUGAUGAUUAAUACUGAUGCUUGAUUAAUUUGUUUGUUCUACCAUGCUUGCUUAGAAUAGGUGCUUACCUGGAAUGGUUAAUCAACUAGAACUUGAUGCUAAAACUUGAAAGUAAGGACCUACUUUAGAAGCUUUUGGCAAAAACAAACCCAUC
rnacentral:lncRNA from 1 species